rnacentral:rRNA from 1 species
UAAACUAGGAUUAGAUACCCUAUUAUUUUGAGUGUUAAUGUUUUUACCUGAGUAGUAUUAGUUGUGUUCUUGAAACUUAAAGAAUUUGGCGGUAUCCUACUCCGUUCAGAGGAAUCUGUCUCGUUAUCGAUAGUCCGCGUUGGACCUUACUUGGGGUUAAUUUUGGUUUGUAUACCGCCGUUUAUUGAUUAUCUUUUUAGAGUUUCUGAAUUUUCUGGUUUCUUUAAUUUGAUUUAUUGCAGGUCAAGGUGCAGCUUUUUCUAAGUGUUAAUGAUGGAUUACAGUGUUAUGUGUUGUUUGGAUUGUUUAUUUGAAUAUUGGCAUGAAAUUGGAUUUGGUUGUAAUGUUUUGUAGAUUGUUUUCAUGAUAGUUGGUUCUAGGAUAUGUACACAUCGCCCGUCGCUCUCAAUUAAAUUG